GACGAACGCUGGCGGCGUGCUUAACACAUGCAAGUCGAACGGAAAGGCCCUUCGGGGUACUCGAGUGGCGAACGGGUGAGUAACACGUGGGUGAUCUGCCCUGCACUUUGGGAUAAGCCUGGGAAACUGGGUCUAAUACCGAAUAUGAUCAUCGGCUUCAUGGUCGGUGGUGGAAAGCUUUUGCGGUGUGGGAUGGGCCCGCGGCCUAUCAGCUUGUUGGUGGGGUAAUGGCCUACCAAGGCGACGACGGGUAGCCGGCCUGAGAGGGUGACCGGCCACACUGGGACUGAGAUACGGCCCAGACUCCUACGGGAGGCAGCAGUGGGGAAUAUUGCACAAUGGGCGCAAGCCUGAUGCAGCGACGCCGCGUGAGGGAUGACGGCCUUCGGGUUGUAAACCUCUUUCAGCACAGACGAAGCGCAAGUGACGGUAUGUGCAGAAGAAGAACCGGCCAACUACGUG
rnacentral:rRNA from 1 species